rnacentral:rRNA from 1 species
UACGUAGGGUGCGAGCGUUGUCCGGAUUUAUUGGGCGUAAAGAGCUCGUAGGCGGUUUGUCGCGUCGGCCGUGAAAUCUCCACGCUUAACGUGGAGCGUGCGGUCGAUACGGGCAGACUUGAGUUCGGUAGGGGAGACUGGAAUUCCUGGUGUAGCGGUGAAAUGCGCAGAUAUCAGGAGGAACACCGAUGGCGAAGGCAGGUCACUGGGCCGCAACUGACGCUGAGGAGCGAAAGCAUGGGGAGCGAACAGG